UUUUUGGAGACUUUAUGAUCGUGGUUAUACAUUGAAAGAUACUGUAGAGCAGUUACUCUGUGUGAACUGUAGUCGGUAUCUUGCGGAUAGAUUUGUUGAAGGAAUCUGUCCUCUUUGUAACUAUCCCGAUGCUCGCGGUGACCAAUGUGAUAAGUGUGGGAAAUUAAUUAAUGCAGUAGAACUAAAGUCUCCUAGAUGUAAGGUGUGUGGUGAUUCACCGGUUGUCAAGUCAUCAGAGCAUCUAUUUAUAGAUCUACCAAAGUUGGAGCCAGCGUUAAAACAGUUCUUGGCAAAGAGUGCAACUGAUGAUUCCAAUUGGACAUUUAACGCUAAAAAUAUCACGCAUUCAUGGAUACGAGAUGGACUCAAACCACGGUGUAUUACCCGUGAUUUGAAAUGGGGUACACCGUACCGCUAGAAGGAUUCACUGAUAAGGUAUUCUACGUUUGGUUUGAUGCCCCCAUUGGUUACCUCUCUAUUACCGCUAAUUAUACCGACCAAUGGGAGAAAUGGUGGAAGAACCCACAACAGGUGAGUCUCCUAAAAGUGGAUUAGAAUGAUAUCUUUUCUCUACAAUACAUCUAUAAU